rnacentral:lncRNA from 1 species
UAUUUUAUCCGAAUUCUGUGUCUCUGUUUCUUUCCGAGAUUUCUGCCACACUGCAAAUACUUGUAUUAACUGUGUAUUGUGGUGCAGCAUCUGAAAUGUCAUCUUGAGUGCAUCACUGUUUUGGGUUUCAGAUGUCCCCAUGAGCCCUGCACUGUGGGAUGACUGCAGAGAUAAAGACCAGCUGGAGAAGUUGGGGAGCAAUCCUGGAGUCAGACGGGAGACAUUUGCCUGGAGCAAUGAGGCCCAGGACACCUUGGACAAAGGUGCCUCCUUGCCUCUGCCUUCACCCUGUGGGUCCAGGAAUACUUUGCUACUGCUGGCCCCGGCAAGUGGACAAAUCACCCCCUCUGAGAACACAGCCAGAUCUGAUGGAGGGGCGGGAGCUGUGGGAUCGAACUCGGGACCUUGCACUUUCGAGGCAGGAGCCGGAACCACCGAGCUAAAUCCCCAGCCCCUGAACUAGAGCUGGUGAAGGUGAAGAGCUUUUGAAGGUCUUGCUGUGUUGCCUGAACUUGUGAUCUUCCUGCCUCAAACUCCCAAGUACCAGGAGUUACAAACUCGUGCCACCACUCCUGGCUCAUCACAAGCCCCUUUUGACAACACCUGGCUUUAUAUUAAUGAAGUCAGUUUUGGAGGGUGGGGUUGGCUGCCAGAG